GGCGGUUCGCCGCCGGCGACGUCGCGAGAAGUCCACUGAACCUUAUCAUUUAGAGGAAGGAGAAGUCGUAACAAGGUUUCCGUAGGUGAACCUGCGGAAGGAUCAUUGUCGAAACCUGCUGAGCAGAACGACCCGAGAACACGUGCGAUUGCCAUUCGGGGCGGAGGUGGGCCCAGGCCCCCACGACCCACGGUGAUGGCGGAGGAGCCGGCGCGCUCGUGCGUCGGCCGCUUCGUCCGUCCCCACUAACAGAACCCCGGCGCGGCCAGCGUCAAGGAAAAACAAACAAAAAAAGGAGGCGACGUCCGAUGCCCGCCCCGGGAACGGUGCGCGGACGGGACGUUUCGCCGUCUCUUUAGAAUCAAAACGACUCUCGGCAACGGAUAUCUCGGCUCUCGCAUCGAUGAAGAACGUAGCGAAAUGCGAUACUUGGUGUGAAUUGCAGAAUCCCGUGAACCAUCGAGUCUUUGAACGCAAGUUGCGCCCGAAGCCUUCUGGCCGAGGGCACGUCUGCCUGGGUGUCACGCAUCGUCGCCCCCAACGCCGCCCCGCCUCGGGGGACGUCGUCGGGGGCGGAUUUUGGCCUCCCGUGCGCGAGAGCGAGCGGUUGGCCUAAAACUCAGUGCCCGGCGGGGAUCGCCACGACAAUGCGGUGGUUUGAAAUCAAUGCCCUCGGACGUUGUCGCGUGCCCCUCAAAGGGAGAAGGGACCCCCGUGAGCGAAUCACGCUCCAAUCGAGACCCCAGGCCAGUCGGGACUACCCGCUGAAUUUAAGCAUAUCAAU
rnacentral:rRNA from 1 species